UACGUAGGGUGCGAGCGUUGUCCGGAAUUAUUGGGCGUAAAGAGCUUGUAGGCGGUCUGUCGCGUCUGCUGUGAAAAUCCGGGGCUCAACCCCGGACUUGCAGUGGGUACGGGCAGACUAGAGUGUGGUAGGGGAGACUGGAAUUCAUGGUGUAGCAGUGAAAUGCGUAGAGAUCAUGAGGAAGACCAGUGGCGAAGGCGGGUCUCUGGGCCGAUACUGACGCUGAGGAGCGAAAGCGUGGGGAGCGAACAGG
rnacentral:rRNA from 1 species